rnacentral:misc_RNA from 1 species
AACGCACCUUGCGCCUCUUGGUAUUCCGAGGGGCAUGCCUGUUUGAGUGUCAUUGAAACAUCAAAAGAAAAUUUGUUUUCUUUUGGAACUGGAGUGUGCUGGUCUCUUUUUGGGAAACCAGCUCCUCUAAAAUGCAUUUAGCAGAGUGUCACCCCAACGCUUGCACGGCGCUCUUCUUGGCCAUUGAUAGCUUGUCUAUGUCCAAGUUGCUGAGCAGGUGAAGGAAAGGUCUCUAGGCUUAUAAUGGUCCACCACGGACAAAACAUCCUUUGCUUGACAAUUAACCCUCAAAUCAGGUAGGACUACCCGCUGAACUUAA